GGUAAGUGGAAGGAGGGGAAAAGUUGGAACAAAAGAGUUUGCAAUUGUCAGUGCUGAAAAAUUACCCAUGCAUAUAUCUUGUAAAUAAAAAGCUAUUUUAAAAAGAGAAAGAGAAAGAGAAAGAGAGAGAGAGAGAGAGAGAAAGACAGACAGACACUGGCUGAGUAUAAGAGGAGAAAUAGGAUAAUAACUGGAGAAGAUGUCUUGUGAUCUAAUUUAAUCUAAUGAUGAAGGUCUAAUGAAUUUUUAAAAAUAGGGGUGAGUUGCAUAUGUUUGAAAUCAGUUGAGAAGGAGCAUAUAGAUAGAGAGAGGGUUGGAGAUUAAAAAGGAAUCUAAUUGCAGGCAAUCUCCUGGAGCAGAUCGAAAAGAAUGGAAUGAAGGGCAUAUGCAGAAGGAUUGACCUUGGCCAGGAAAAGGGGAAUUCAUUACCAGAGGCUAGAAGAAAGAAUGAAUGAAUGAGGAAUAAUAUCAAGGAGUUCUAAGAUGAAGAGAUGAGGAAAAGAAAAAAGUUUGUGGGACUGGUCUUAAUAUUCUCAAUGAAGAGGCAAGGUCCUCAGUUGAAAAGAUAGGAGGAGAAAGGCAGUAUAGGAGGUUAGAGUUAAUAUUGAGAAAAACUUCAACUAGAAGUCAUAAGAUCAAUUUAGCCAUGAAAAAAAAAAUUGGCUUUAUGGCAAGAAGGGCCUAGUUGAGGUUACCUAACAAAAAAUUGUAGAGUAUCCACUUAUUAGUGCUGUGUGACUUCCUCUUCCUCCAUUUAGCAGGACCUGAGUAGAAGGAAAACAAAUGGAUGGUGAGAGUUAUUCGUGGCUCAGAUUUCGCCAAAAAAAAAAAAAAAAAAAAAGAGCUGACAUAAGAUAAGGAAUUAAAGAGUGCAAGAGAAAUAGUGGAUGCACACAUAUAUUUUAUCUAGGAUAUAUUGUAACCUAUUUAACAUGUAUAGGACUGCUUGCCAUCUGGGGAAGGGGGCGGAAAGAGAGAGGGGAAAAAUCGGAACAAAAGUGAGUGCAAGGGAUAAUGUUGUAAAAAAUUACCCUGGCAUGGGUUCUGUCAAUAAAAAGUUAUUUAAAAAAAAGAGAGAGAAAUAGUGGAAAACUGAAUUGAUAAACCACAGGGUUAAGACUAGAGAGGGAAAAAAAGUUAAAGUAUGGUAAUGAGAGGAGUAGACAAAUAAGAGUUUAGGAUGAGAUCAAAGAAUAGAUAUAUAACAAUUAAAGCAGAGAAGAGAAAGAGAGAACAAUUAGACAGAAUAAUAGCAGAGUUUUUUGUUUGUUUGUUUGUUUGAUUAAAGGUAAGUAGGAAGCUUGAUGAGAGUCAAUGUGGCAAGCCAUCUGUGUCGCAGAGGUAGAGGGAAGAAUUUGAGGAGUAUUAGGGAAUAGAAGUGAAGGUAAAGCCCUUGCUGAAGAAGAUGGCCAAGAUUUAAUGCUAUCUGCAGGAAGUCAGGUCUUACUGAGAGCAAGUAGAUGAAAUUGAUAUGAGAGGAAGAAGUCCAGAAAUAAGGGAAAUUUGUCCAUUGUGAAAUAGGAAUUCCAGAAAGCAAAGUGGAAGGGGUGGACAAAAUUGCAAUAAGACAUGGGCAGAAUACGAUUGAGAAGCACAGGCACAUGAGAAGAAAAAUUAGUAUUCUGGUUAGUUCUUUCUACAUUUGUCAUUUCUUAGGUUGCUAGGGCCAAUAUAGGUAUGGGAAAAGAAUAGGUGGAAUUUUGCUAGCCUUAGUAUCAUGUGACUUGUAAUGUUUACACACUCCACAAGGUGGUAGUACAGGUAAGGAAAGGCAAUGCUGAAUAGGGAAAAAGAAAAAAGGAACCCUUUAUCCUAAAAGAUAUGCCCAAAUAAAUGUCCUCUGCUUGAUUUGAAGCUGGAGGAGAGAAGGGAGGGAAGGAGAUGAGAGGCCAAAUAACUAGAAGGAUAGUUGAGAGAAAGCAGCAUCACAGAAACAUAGACAGGAGAGAGCAUUCAACAGUGCCAAAUAAACUGGAAAAGGUCACUGAUUUUACAAGCUGAAGCUUUGAGUACUUUGAAGAGUAUAAUUUCAAUUGAGAUUUUAUAUAUAAUGUUCAAAGCUAGAGGUGGGCAGAAUUGCAUUAAGACAGUGGUAGAACAGGACUAAGAAGCACAGGCACAAGGGGUUAAGAAGUAAUGGGAGAAAGCAGAGGAAAUCAAACUUUUUCUAAGAAUGUGGCUAUGAAAGGAAAAAAUACAGGCUGGUGCAAUCAAGUGAAGAUUUUUUUAAAGAUGAGGAAAAUCUAGAUAUAUUUUAUGCAGAGGAGAAGGAUCUAAUAGUGCAAAGAGUUUUGAGAUGUCUUGUGAGGGAGAAGAAAGAGUUCAUAGUCAAAAGUUUUUAUUUUCUCAGCAAAUUAUGUCAGAUUGUUUGUUGAGAGGGACAGUAAAGAAAAAGCUGGAGAGGAAAAAAAGUUAAAAAAAAAAAAACUCCUAUGAAGAAUUUGAUAAAGUCAACUGGGGAGAGAAAAAGGAUUGUCUUGAAGCAAUAAGAACCCAGUUGAUGUGGCUUAACAAAUUUGUAGUGGACUGUACCAGUAUUUCUAAAAUCCAUGUUUGAAAUUUGGCAAAGAACAGUGAUAUAAGACAGGUGGGCGAGGAAUUCAAGAGUAGAGAACUGUGUAAAGUUGAUUAAGAUUGAAAAGAAAGGAAAAUGAAGUUGAAGCAGAAUGAGAAUAAUGAAAGGUGAAACAAAUGAAGGUCAUUGUGAGGAAGAAGAAAGUUAGAAAGAGGCUAAGUAAGACUUCAUAAUAGGAAUUGGUCUUUGACCCCAGAGCUUAGGAUAUAACCACAGAAAGUAAGAGGCAGAUAACUAGAUCAAACUAAAUGUAAAGAUACACCUAUCUUCCUUCUCAUCCUUUAAACUAAGUGUGGAAAAAAAAUCUUGCUACAGAAAAAAAAAAAGCAAGGCAGUCAAGAUGCAACACUUAAGGCAGAAAGCAGCUUCAAGAUUUGCCAGUCUUUCUGGUAGCAAAGAACAGAGUCAAUUGUAGACUCAAGAAAGAGCUAUAACCCUGGCAAGCAGGAAUCAAGCUGAGGAGAAAGAAAAUCAUAAGAGGUAGCCGAGGGAUCUGGCCAGCUGAGAUGCUAUGCUGUCUCUUACAAGAAGUACUCUCAGGAAGGAGAUAAAGUCCAUAUGAGGCCCUGAAGUACCAGGAACAAUGAAAUGAAUACAGAAAAGCAUGAAAAGACAAAAACCAAUGAAUGAAGAAUGAAGGUAUGGCUGAGGCAUUUAAGAGAUCCAUCAAAGAACGGACAAGGCAGACUCUGCCAAUGAUCCUUCACUAUGGGGUGAGAGCUAAGGAAAAAACAAAUCCACUCAAGAGAAGCACCCUAAGAAAGUGGCUGAAGAGAGGUAGCAUCUUCCCAACAUCAAGGCACACUCCAACAGAUUUUGAAGCACAUGCAUCCUACACCGACACAACCCCACUACUCCCCCGAACUGGCUCUUCUGUAACUGAGGUUUUUCAGGAAUCAGGAAUUUAAAGUGAUUGUAUGAUCAAAAGAUCCAGCACUUUGCCACGAAGAAUAUAUAGGAUCUUGCACUGUUAGAUAACAAAUUCAGAGAAAUUUGACGGUUGCAUGUAGAUUGCUCUGUGCACAGGAAUCCAGAGGCACCUGAUCCACUCCAGGCAUCCUUUGACAGUGCACAUGGUGUGAGGGAAGUAGCCGAGGGUGACACUACUACCUUCAGUCUCCAUUCUGGCACGUUGAGCCAGGUUGGAGGAGAGGGAGUGCAUUACCCAGUGGGGUGAGUUUGUGUCGGGGGAAGGGAUGUUCGAAGGAUGCAUUUUCUAUCCCAAAGGCACAGGAACAAUACUCCAGGAAGAGGUUUGCACUCAACCUCAAGGCGGAGAAGGCAAAGAGGUGCAAACCACCAGCUGCAGAGCUAGGAGAAUGCUAGCAAA